rnacentral:rRNA from 1 species
AGAGUUUGAUCCUGGCUCAGGAUGAACGCUGGCGGCGUGCCUAACACAUGCAAGUCGAGCGAAGCGCUGUUUUCAGAAUCUUCGGAGGAAGAGGGCAGUGACUGAGCGGCGGACGGGUGAGUAACGCGUGGGCAACCUGCCUCAUACAGGGGGAUAACAGUUAGAAAUGACUGCUAAUACCGCAUAAGCGCACAGGACCGCAUGGUGUAGUGUGAAAAACUCCGGUGGUAUGAGAUGGACCCGCGUCUGAUUAGGUAGUUGGUGGGGUAAAGGCCUACCAAGCCGACGAUCAGUAGCCGACCUGAGAGGGUGACCGGCCACAUUGGGACUGAGACACGGCCCAAACUCCUACGGGAGGCAGCAGUGGGGAAUAUUGCACAAUGGGGGAAACCCUGAUGCAGCGACGCCGCGUGAAGGAAGAAGUAUUUCGGUAUGUAAACUUCUAUCAGCAGGGAAGAAAAUGACGGUACCUGAGUAAGAAGCACCGGCUAAAUACGUGCCAGCAGCCGCGGUAAUACGUAUGGUGCAAGCGUUAUCCGGAUUUACUGGGUGUAAAGGGAGCGUAGACGGAUAGGCAAGUCUGGAGUGAAAACCCAGGGCUCAACCCUGGGACUGCUUUGGAAACUGCAGAUCUGGAGUGCCGGAGAGGUAAGCGGAAUUCCUAGUGUAGCGGUGAAAUGCGUAGAUAUUAGGAGGAACACCAGUGGCGAAGGCGGCUUACUGGACGGUGACUGACGUUGAGGCUCGAAAGCGUGGGGAGCAAACAGGAUUAGAUACCCUGGUAGUCCACGCC